GAUGAACGCUGGCGGCGUGCCUAAUACAUGCAAGUCGAGCGAACGGACGAGAAGCUUGCUUCUCUGAUGUUAGCGGCGGACGGGUGAGUAACGCGUGGAUAACCUACCUAUAAGACUGGGAUAACUUCGGGAAACCGGAGCUAAUACCGGAUAAUAUUUUGAACCGCAUGGUUCAAAAGUGAAAGACGGUCUUGCUGUCACUUAUAGAUGGAUCCGCGCUGCAUUAGCUAGUUGGUAAGGUAACGGCUUGCCAAGGCAACGAUGCAUAGCCGACCUGAGAGGGUGAUCGGCCACACUGGAACUGAGACACGGUCCAGACUCCUACGGGAGGCAGCAGUAGGGAAUCUUCCGCAAUGGGCGAAAGCCUGACGGAGCAACGCCGCGUGAGUGAUGAAGGUCUUCGGAUCGUAAAACUCUGUUAUUAGGGAAGAACAUAUGUGUAAGUAACUGUGCACAUCUUGACGGUACCUAAUCAGAAAGCCACGGCUAACUACGUG
rnacentral:rRNA from 1 species